GAUGAAGCAGUCUCGAUUUAAUCGAAUAAAGUUCUGGGUAAAAUUAUGAUAAUGACAUUGUUUACCUGUGAGUCUUGACCAAAUUACGUGCCAGCAGUCGCGGUAAUACGUAGAAGACUAGUGUUAUUCAUCUUUAAUAGGUUUAAAGGGUACCUAGACGGCAUAUUAAGCCUUAAUUGGAACUGACAUGCUAGAGUUACUUAUGAGGAAGUUUUAAUGUACUAGAGGUGUAGAGAUGAAAUUCAGUCAUACCUUUUUUCUAACGAAAAAUUUCGGCACAGGUGUAGGUGAAAACAUCUUCUUAUGGGAUAACUGACG
rnacentral:rRNA from 1 species